UACGUAGGGGGCAAGCGUUGUCCGGAAUCAUUGGGCGUAAAGAGCGUGUAGGCGGCUCGGUAAGUCCGCUGUGAAAGUCCAGGGCUCAACCCUGGAAUGCCGGUGGAAACUGUCGAGCUAGAGUCCGGAAGAGGCGAGUGGAAUUCCUGGUGUAGCGGUGGAAUGCGCAGAUAUCAGGAGGAACACCGAUGGCGAAGGCAGAUCUCUGGGCCGUAACUGACGCUGAGGAGCGAAAGCAUGGGGAGCGAACAGG
rnacentral:rRNA from 1 species